UUUUUUUCCUUUUUUUAUUACCCACCCAAUUAAUACCCCCAAUUACCAAACGGCCAAACCCUUCAACAACUGCCGCCUGCCUUGCUGUCUCAUGUGACCUGUGGCCAGCUGUCGACACCACCUAACCACCACGGCACCACCGUCGCCCGUCUGGCGUCCACCUGCCUUCUGUCUGUCCAGCUCUGCUCCUCUCUGUAAUCUCCAUCAUUAAUUAGACCAGUUUUCUUCUUUAAGCCUCGUUGCCAGCCCACCAUCGCAGCCACCGUCACUAAUUUCUUCCUCCUCCCUUAUUUUCAAGAAAGAGCAAACAAGGAGAAUUAGAAUUACACCACCAACAAUUGAUCGAUUUCUUGUCAGAACUUUUAUGUUGUAGCUAUUAUUCAUAAGGACGAGAUGGAAGAUCCUUCCCCUGUCAAUAGCCCAAGAAGAGUUCUUAUCUUGUCUAGGAAAAGGAGAGGGCCUAGUUCUUUCCACGAUGUCGAUGAUAAGGCUUCUGGAUUUGGUUUAUCUGGUCAGCAUGGCCCAAAACCAGGUGAAGUCUAUGGUUUUGUGGGCUCUAUAACAACUAUUGUUGCCACAGCCAUAUUCUUUAUAUGGGCAUAUGCUCCUGAGCACUGGUUGCAUUCAAUUGGCAUUUCCUACUAUCCUAGCAGGUACUGGGCUGUAGCUGUACCAACUUAUUGUAUGGUCAUAAUAGUCUUGGGACUAGCAUUCUAUAUUGGCCUCAACUUUAUGACAACACCUUCUCCAACUUCCUUGAAUGUAGUUUUUGAUGAACACAGCAGAGAUCCACAAAUCUACUCGAAAUUGAAUGAAGAUGAUGAUCGGCCAAUUGAAUCCAUCUCGGAUCUUGACAUCAAUAAAAUUAACGAGCUCAUGUUUGGAGAUCUGGAAUGACUACUUUAUAUUCUGAUAUCAGGGUACAAUUUGUGGGCUAAAAUAUGGGCAAUAUCUGGCUAGCAGUGUUGCUGAUAGCUCAGUGCAUGACUGAUUAGUGUUGGAUUUUUCGGUUGUCUAGAUUUAUUCAAGGCUAGUAUGCGACCUCGUUGUGGAAUCAAUUCAAUAUAUAGGUAUAGAAGUCCUUGAAUUAUUCCUUCAAUGAUGUGAGCACGCUUUGUCCAAUCAAGCUGCAAACAUUUCACUGGAUCUGCAAUGAAUUAAGGGAAAAUAUAGGUUGUGUAUUUAUCUAUUUAUUACUAUAUAUUCUGUUAUAGUGGAACAUAGAGCAAUACCAAAGAGGUAAGAAUCCAAGCUUCCAUUUGGAAGGUACUCAUAGAUGAGCAUCUUUUCCUCUCUUUCCACGCAAAAUCCCAUCACCUUAACCAAGUUUACAUGCUGAAGGUUUGCAGUGAGCAUAACUUCAUUCUUAAACUCCUCGAAUCCUUGGCUUGAAGCUUUUGAAAGUCUUUUUACUGCUAUUUCCUGUCCUGUUUUUCGUUUACCCUGCAGAAAUAGAGUAGGUAAUAUCACUUGUUGGCUUGUUGCUAUCCACCUCUCUUAGGAGGAAGACACCGACUUGAUUAAUUUUAAACGAAAACUACUACUCCAUUCGUUUGAAAGUUACAUAUGAUUUUAUGAUGUAAACAUAAGGUUGUUAUAUUUCAUAGAACCAUAUUCCUUUUUAAAAGUUAUAGAUGUGAAAUUAUAUGCCGUCUUUUAUCUCAUAUCUGGGAUCAUGUAAUAAUCAGUUCCGGACAAAUCGAUCAUAUAUAUUUUUAAAAUUCUUCUACGAUUAUGAGAAUGGAUAUAAUAUAUGUAAUCCUAGAUCUAGCAGGAAAUACCUGGUAGACUGGUCCAUACCCACCCUCUCCAAGCUUUUUGUAACACGAAAAAUUCUCUGGCUGCACUAAUAUCCUCAAAUCUGAAUACUUUCAGUUCUGGUGAAUCAUAUCUAAAGCUUCUAUCAUUUCCUGUCACAGACCCUAUGAAUACAUACAUCAUCGAAAUGGAAACUAGAAGUAUGGUGACAUUCUCAGUAUGGUUAUAAUGAGGUUGAUGUUGAUCUUCGUUCUGAGACUUGGUAUUAUCUUGACAUCAAAUGAAAUGUCAACCAAGUUCAAUAAUAUAGACAUUGUAUUGUUUUUAAAGAUAACAUACUACUUAUUAUAUUGCUAAUAGUUAUAUGUAUUUAGAUAUUUUAAAACUUUCAAAUGAAGUUUAUGUAGCUUUUAUUAACUUUUUUUUCUAUGUAUGUGUUAUAUUAACACAAUUAUUAUAACGACCUUAUGGAGAUCAUAUAUUUAUAUUAUUUUGGCAUCAUUGUAUUUAUGUAAUCAUAGUGUUGGAUUUGGUGUCUUAUUAUAGUGGCUAAUCAUUAAAUUAUUACAAAGUGUUGCAUUUAUUAGUAAAAGCUUUGCAUUUAUGAAAAUAAUAUGUUGCUUUAUUAUAGUGGUAAAAUAACAAAUGUUGCUAUUGUUACAAAAAGGGAUUUGCAUAUAUUUCGGUGGAAAAAAAAAAGAAGAAAAAUAUUGCAAUUACUGGAAAAAUGUUGCAUAUAUUUUGGUGGAAAAAAGGAAAAAUAUUAUAAUAAUCAGUAAGAAUGGUGCAUAU